rnacentral:rRNA from 1 species
GACGAACGCUGGCGGCGUGCUUCAUACAUGCAAGUCGAACGAGAAGUCACCUUCGGGUGAUGGAAAGUGGCGGACGGGUGAGUAAUAUGUAGAGAAUCUGCCCUAGAGAGGGGGACAACAGAGGGAAACUUCUGCUAAUACCCCAUAUGAGCGUAGCUGAAAUGCUAUUCUUGAAAACUCCGGUGCUCUAGGAUGAGUCUGCAUCUGAUUAGCUAGUUGGGGGUGUAAUGGACCACCAAGGCGACGAUCAGUAGCUGGUUUGAGAGGUUGAACGGCCACAUUGGGACUGAGAUACGGCCCAGACUCCUACGGGAGGCAGCAGUCGGGAAUAUUGCGCAAUGGAGGAAACUCUGACGCAGUGACGCCGCGUGCAGGAAGAAGGUUUUCGGAUUGUAAAACUGCUUUAGACAGGGAAGAAACAAGACAGUACCUGUAGAAUAAGCUCCGGCUAACUACGUG